rnacentral:sRNA from 2 species
AUGUACCACUCGCACGCUUCGGCGCUUGCGUGUCGUCCGCACCCGCCUGACGGCCGCUCGCUACGUCUUGUCAGCU